AACGAACGCUGGCGGCAGGCUUAACACAUGCAAGUCGAGCGCCCCGCAAGGGGAGCGGCAGACGGGUGAGUAACGCGUGGGAAUCUACCGUGCCCUACGGAAUAGCUCCGGGAAACUGGAAUUAAUACCGUAUACGCCCUACGGGGGAAAGAUUUAUCGGGGUAUGAUGAGCCCGCGUUGGAUUAGCUAGUUGGUGGGGUAAAGGCCUACCAAGGCGACGAUCCAUAGCUGGUCUGAGAGGAUGAUCAGCCACAUUGGGACUGAGACACGGCCCAAACUCCUACGGGAGGCAGCAGUGAGGAAUAUUGGACAAUGGGCGCAAGCCUGAUCCAGCCAUGCCGCGUGAGUGAUGAAGGUCUUAGGAUUGUAAAGCUCUUUCACCGGUGAAGAUAAUGACGGUAACCGGAGAAGAGGCCCCGGCUAACUUCGUGCCAGCCGCCGCAGUAA
rnacentral:rRNA from 1 species